UACAGAGGGGGCAAGCGUUGUUCGGAAUUACUGGGCGUAAAGCGCGCGUAGGCGGCUUUGUAAGUUAGAGGUGAAAGCCCGGAGCUCAACUCCGGAACUGCCUUUAAGACUGCAUCGCUUGAAUCCAGGAGAGGUGAGUGGAAUUCCGAGUGUAGAGGUGAAAUUCGUAGAUAUUCGGAAGAACACCAGUGGCGAAGGCGGCUCACUGGACUGGUAUUGACGCUGAGGAGCGAAAGCGUGGGGAGCAAACAGG
rnacentral:rRNA from 1 species